UACACGCCUCUCUCUCUCUCUCUCUCUCUCUCUCUCUCUCUCACAGAGGCACACAUAAACAGAGAGACCCAUGCACUUCACUUCUCUCUAUAAAAUCUCUUUCUUUCUAAUUGGGUUUGUUGAGCUGAGGCAUGGUUGCUGGCCAAAUCUGGAAUAGCCUAUUUCAUGGUUGUCUACCAUUUGAAGGAAAUCUUCUUCUUUGGGCAGAGCCCUUCCCGUCCACCAGCUAUACCAGUCUCUAGCUCAACACACAGUGCUUUGUUUAAGGAGGUUAGUCGGUAAAACCCAUUUGAUCAGUGACAGUGGAAGAGGCUUCAAAUUAGAGAACCCAAGGGAGCUGGAAAGUGAGCACUUUGGAAGAGCAGAGGAAGAUGAGAAGAAUGGAAACGAAGAAGGCAAGCAAUUUGGUGGGAAAAAAGGUGGUUCUGUAAAACAGUGGAACCCUCCAGAUUUAAACAGUGAAGAACCAACAGCUCUCCCAUUUUACCCCUGUAGCUCUCCAACCAGCUAGUUGAAAUCCAACCAGACACCUCUCAACCCUAAACAACAGCUAGUUACAUCCCAAGGAAAGAGAGGGCAAAACGGGAAAAAUACAGAACAAUCAGUCAAGGGCAAAAUGGCAAUUUUACUGUUCAAAAGGAAAGGAAAAGCUGGCUGUACAGUUUUAAAUAGAGGCAUUUUCGUAAUUUUACUGUGCUUAGCUACAGUGUUUAGUUGCAUUGGGCUUUAGUAUA